rnacentral:lncRNA from 1 species
CCUUACCUCCAUGUAUUUCUACUUGAUGUAAUCGUAUAUAUUUCUGCUCUAUAUGCAUGGACUUCUAUUGAGACCUUGGCUUUUUAGUGAGGGAUAUGGACCAUUAUCUUUGUAGUACGAUGUCAUAGCAUCUACUGGUAUGACAUCAAGUGCUAACUAUCAUAAGAACCAGAAUGCAUCUUGCACAUCUAUAACAUAUUCAACUUUCAU